rnacentral:lncRNA from 1 species
CGUAAGAAAUUGGAAAGAUUACAGUUUCACCUUUUUACGGGCCCAACAUCCUAAAAUUAACCAAACACAACCGCCCCCUUAAAAUCCACCAAUUAGCUUCGCCUCAUUUCGAAUUUAGAAAUCGAAAACCAGUGUAACCAGAAGACUUUGUUGUAUUACCAAACUACCCAUGCCUGGUUUCACUUUAUUGAGGACAGCACGACUUUAGCCAAGAAUAAGUGUGUUAGUAGCAAUAACUGCUCUUUUAUGUAAUAAAAAGUCAAUAAGUGCCUAUUUCUGUUAUAAACUCUUUAUGUAAUAAAAAGUCAAUAAGUGUCUAUUUCUGUUAUAAACUCUUAUUUGGCCUAGGUCCAGUAUUUUGAAACUCCCUCCCU